CUUUGUCACCAGUUGAAGUUAACCAGCUACUAAAUUUGAUUAAAUGUAUAGACAAACAUUACUUACAGUGGUGGUGAGCGAAGGUGAGUCGAUGUUUUCCUGCUGUUUCUCCUGCUGCUGCAAACAAGUCAAAGUACAUACAAUUAACAAGUCAAAGUGAUACUUUUAAUAUAUUUGAAUGACACUGUGUUUUUAGUAAAUGACAAUAUCUGCAUUAAUAAAUGACACUUAUAAUAUAUGUAAAUGACACCAUAUACAUUAAUAGAUGAAACUAUGGUUCUAUCAAUAUUCUUCUCCCUAUCUUCUCCCUAUUUAAGUGAGUAGCAGCUACGGUGAGCAUUGCUGGUCGUGAGUGUGUCGAAGGCAAGAGACGACAGCGGAGACCCCAGACGACGGCAGUGUUAGCGAGCUAACGGCAGCUUACUCGCCGGUCUUUGGCAGCAACGAACGGCAGUGAACCUCGUGGUGUCGAAGGCGAGAACCGACAGCGGAGACUCCAAGCAACUUUGGGCUUUGGCGGGGUGUGAAGUCGUAGCAGCGUAAGCUUGAGAUCGACGCUAGCUUUUUGGUCCGAGAGACGGCGGUUGCUGAGUCGUUAGUCGUUGGCGACGACGAUCGGUGGAGCCUUGCGGCAGCUUACUCGCCAGUCUUUGGCAGCAGCGAACGGCGGAGCCUUGCGGCAGCUUGCUCGUCGAUCUUUGGCAGCAGCGAACGGCAGCGAACCACGAGUGUUAUGAAGCUUCCUUAUCGGCUUUUGGGCAUUUCAAACAAAAACAAAAGCAAUCAGCUCUCUCUCUCUCUCUCUCUCAAGUGCCAUUGCUCAGUCUUUAUUUAGGCCAUCAUCAACAGUGGACCAACACUGUGUCUGUCUAUGCCCAUCAAACAGUGGCAUGAAAUAUUUGGAAUUAAUCAGCUCUUUUGUC